rnacentral:rRNA from 1 species
GGGGAAUAUUGGACAAUGGGCGAAAGCCUGAUCCAGCGACGCCGCGUGAGUGAAGAAGUAUUUCGGUAUGUAAAGCUCUAUCAGCAGGGAAGAAAAUGACGGUACCUGACUAAGAAGCCCCGGCUAACUACGUGCCAGCAGCCGCGGUAAUACGUAGGGGGCAAGCGUUAUCCGGAUUUACUGGGUGUAAAGGGAGCGUAGACGGUUAAGCAAGUCUGAAGUGAAAGCCCGGGGCUCAACCCCGGUACUGCUUUGGAAACUGUUUGACUUGAGUGCAGGAGAGGUAAGUGGAAUUCCUAGUGUAGCGGUGAAAUGCGUAGAUAUUAGGAGGAACACCAGUGGCGAAGGCGGCUUACUGGACUGUAACUGACGUUGAGGCUCGAAAGCGUGGGGAGCAAACA